GGACAGCUGGGGGCACCCUAAGACAUUGGCAGUUGGAAACAUGAUGGAGGAAAAGCAGCACCUUGGGGGCAGAUAAAAGCAAGAAGCAUUCAAAGAAGGAAAGAAAGGUUAAGAUGACCUGGAGACAAGAAAAAGAUUUAGAAGAAGAAAGAAAUAAAAAAAGAGUUCAUCACUGAAGAGGUAUCCUGAUAAUGUAAACAGUACGAUAGGCUAAAAACUGGAAUCAUCUAGAAGACUAAAGGACCCAUCAUGUCCUUCCCAGGCCAUGCCCAAAAGACCAGCAAAAAGACUGUUCCAACAGAGUCUCUUCUAAUGCCCCAAGUUCCACGUGGCAAUUACUUGCAACUUCAGGAAGAGAAGCAAAGACUACAGCUCAAGAAAUUCCUUCUUCAUAGGGUGUUUCUAGUGGCCAAGAUAACAGCAAACACAGAAAGAAAAGAUAUCGCCGACUACUAUGAACGCGUGUUUCAGUCCAUUUUAAAACAUCACAUAGAAGCAGCAGUGACCGGGUUUCUGCUCAUCUAUCCCACUUCUAUUCUGCAUAUCCUGGAGUCCUCCAGCGGUACCCUUUACCGAAUUCUUUUAGAUCAUCUUGACCAGGGAAAGAAUGAUACAAAAUUUUUUAUCCAAGGGAUGAAAAUUAUAGUUGUGUCCCAUAACAUCCCAACAAGACUCUUCACGCAAUGGCAUGUUUCAGUCAUAAAAGUUCCAGUUAUGUAUCUCGAUGACAUCACACAGACACAGUCCCUAGAGGGGGUCGUCACAGAGUUUCUCACCCAGACUCAUAAACUGGCACUGCACGUUGCAAAGACUGUGAAAGUGGGUGCUAAAGGACCAGGAGACAACUUACACCAACUUGUACCUGAAUUGCUCAUCUCAGAACAGAUAAUAAAGUACUUGUGCAAAUCUGAAGAAUUCAUGGAUCCAGAAGCUUUCCUAAACAUGUAUAACAGACCCGCACAUAUCACUUUGGAUUCUGAGGUGAUAUGGCCUGCUCCUUCUUGUUUCUAGGAUUGAGAGGGACGUGGUUGGUGUGGUCCAAUCUCUCAAGGGAUUGAUGCUACUUAAAGGAAAAUAUUUGUGAGGUGAGUCUUCUUUUUAAAAAAGAAAGGACCAUACACCACGGGAUACACAAAGGCUCGGUUUAUACUAGAUGUUACUUUUUGAAGCCAAGGGUAAUAGACUACAGCAAGGUUUAUUUCAUCAUGGAUAAAACUACACGCCUUGUAGUAUUUUGAUUCAUGGACUCCUCACUUUCUGUCCUGGACAGUGACAAUUCACGGGCAUGUUCCAGCCGCCAUCAAAACGACAAAAUGAAAAGAUCAUUGUAAUGAAAAGACUGACCUUUGUUAUGCAACCCAUUACCAACUCAUUAUGUGGCCCUGAGCAAGUAAUUUUGUUCCUUCUGGGGUCUCUGUUCAUCUACAUCGUAGAACCUCUCAGCAUUAUGCAGAAGUCCCUGAAGCCCUUGAACUGUUAAGCAAAAAUGUGUCUGAAAGAAAGACUUACUGUUUUAGAUCACACAGGAGGAGAAGAUUAAGAUGUUUUUCAUAAAAUUUUGAAGCCUAAUGUCUGAAUGAAUGAAUGAAUGAAUGAGUGAAUGAAUCCACCUUACCAGAGAGUACCCACGGGCAAUACAUUUUCCUUUAAAAAGUCCAUCCUGGAUGUAUCCAUUUUAGUGCAAAGAAGAAUGGGAAACUGACAAGUCAGAAAUCUAUAUACUAGAUUAUGACAUCUGAAUAGCAAGUUUGGUAGCACUAUGGAAUCAGAAGACACCGUGAAGAGUAAGACAUUUUCUUGAAGGCGAUGGGAGGCCACUGAGGAUUUUCAGCAGAGCAUCAUCAGGUUUGGCUACUGAGUGAAGAAUGGCCCUCAGGGGACACGCUGGCAGACAGCUUCUUAGGUGUUACACGUCCUCUGGGAGUGGCUGAUAAUCAUUCCAAUCAUAUUAAUGACGAUGAAGAUGGAUCUAAGGGGACCAGUUUGAGAGAUAAUCAGGAAGUAAACAAACAUAGGUUAUGAGGGAGAGAAAAGUGUCAAAUAUUUUAGGUUUCUAGUUUUUACAGCAAGAUGGUUGCAUUCCUCAGGUAGGGAAUAUAGGAGUACAGCAUUUGUAAAGUAAAAUGUGCUUUCAAUUACAGCUGCCUCGGGUUGGCAUCACUUUUGUUUGAUGUACUUCCAUUAUUAAUACCUUUUGGUGAGGUAUAGAGAGUGUGUAUCAUAUUAAAUCACAUACUUGGUUGAAA